UACGAAGGGGGCUAGCGUUGCUCGGAAUCACUGGGCGUAAAGCGCACGUAGGCGGAUUGUUAAGUCAGGGGUGAAAUCCUGGAGCUCAACUCCAGAACUGCCUUUGAUACUGGCGAUCUUGAGUCCGGGAGAGGUGAGUGGAACUGCGAGUGUAGAGGUGAAAUUCGUAGAUAUUCGCAAGAACACCAGUGGCGAAGGCGGCUCACUGGCCCUGUACUGACGCUGAGGUGCGAAAGCGUGGGGAGCAAACAGG
rnacentral:rRNA from 1 species